ACCCGCUGAACUUAAGCAUAUCAAUAAGCGGAGGAAAAGAAACCAACAGGGAUUGCCUCAGUAACGGCGAGUGAAGCGGCAACAGCUCAAAUUUGAAAUCUGGCCUCACGGUCCGAGUUGUAAUUUGUAGAGGAUGUUUCGAACGUGGUCCGGUCUAAGUUUCUUGGAACAGAACGUCAUAGAGGGUGAGAAUCCCGUAUGCGACUGGGUGCCUAAGUUCAUGUGAAGCUCCUUCGACGAGUCGAGUUGUUUGGGAACGCAGCUCAAAAUGGGUGGUAAAUUUCAUCUAAAGCUAAAUAUUGGCCAGAGACCGAUAGCGCACAAGUAGAGUGAUCGAAAGAUGAAAAGCACUUUGGAAAGAGAGUUAAACAGUACGUGAAAUUGUUGAAAGGGAAGCGCUUGCAACCAGACUUGCAUGCAGUUGAUCAUCCGAUGUUCUCACCGGUGCACUCGAUUGUAUUCAGGCCAGCAUCGGUUUUGGUGGUUAGAUAAAGGCCUUGGGAAUGUAGCUUCUUUCGGGGAGUGUUAUAGCCCUCGGUGCAAUGUAGCCUACCGGGACCGAGGACCGCGCUUCGGCUAGGAUGCUGGCGUAAUGGUUGUAAGCGACCCGUCUUGAAACACGG
rnacentral:rRNA from 1 species